CCUAGGACAGGUUGUCUCCACCAUGGCCUGGGCUCUAAUCCUCUUCACUCUGUUUGCUCAUUACACAGGGUCUUGGACCCACGUUGUGUUCACUCAGCCUCAGUCUGUGUCAGGGUCUCCAGGGCAGAAGUUCACCAUCUCCUGCACCCGCAGCAGCGGCAACAUUGGGGACAAUUAUGUGAACUGGUACCAGCAGCUCCUGGGCGGUGCCCUCACCACUGUGAUCUAUAGAGAUAACCAAAGACCCUCUGGGGUUCCAGCUCGGUUCUCAGGCUCCAUCCACAGCUCCUCCAACUCUGCCUCCCUGACCAUCUCUGAUCUGCAGACUGAGGACGAGGCCAACUAUUACUGUCUGUCUAGUUAUGAUAACUGUUAUCACACAGUGCUCUAGACUCAUGAGGAAGUGAGACAAAAACUCCCCAGAGCUGCCACACCCUGGGUCUGCCCUCAGCCUGUACCCACCACGAUGUGCUGCACUUCCGUGUCUCCUGCUUUAAGGAUAGAGCUGCGAUUUUCUGCUCAAGCGUCCUUCCCAUCCCCCCAACACAAAUUUCCAUGUCUUGAGAAAUUAUCUUCUAAUUUCUUUGAUAUCAUUUCAUGGAAGGGAUGUGGUUUAAAAUAGGGUUUUUGAGCCUUGGCACUGUUACCAGUGUGGACUGUGUUAUUCCUUGUGGUUAGGGCUAUUUUGUGCAUUCUGAGAUGUUGAGAAGCAUCCUGGUCCUCACGUAUCAGAUGUCAGUAGCAACCUAAUGCCCAAGUAGUGACAAACAAACAAACAAACAAAAUCUCCAUUUGUUUUUAAGCAUUCAAUGGGCAUAAUGUUUUUCAUGUUUGAGAGCUAA